UCUUGAUUUAUUUUUUGCCUUUUAUUUUUCUAGCCUGCUAAGGAAGUGAGAGAAGGCAUGACUCAAUAGAAGAAGACAAGAACUCCUUCACAUGCAGCAUUUCCCUCAUGGAAAUGACAAUUUAGUAGAGAACGGGAAUUUAUAACAGAACAAUGAUUCUAAAGAGAUGAAAGCAGAAACCUGUGG
rnacentral:lncRNA from 1 species